AUUGAACGCUGGCGGCAGGCCUAACACAUGCAAGUCGAACGGUAACAGGAAGAAGCUUGCUUCUUUGCUGACGAGUGGCGGACGGGUGAGUAAUGUCUGGGAAACUGCCUGAUGGAGGGGGAUAACUACUGGAAACGGUAGCUAAUACCGCAUAACGUCGCAAGACCAAAGAGGGGGACCUUCGGGCCUCUUGCCAUCGGAUGUGCCCAGAUGGGAUUAGCUAGUAGGUGGAGUAACGGCUCACCUAGGCGACGAUCCCUAGCUGGUCUGAGAGGAUGACCAGCCACACUGGAACUGAGACACGGUCCAGACUCCUACGGGAGGCAGCAGUGGGGAAUAUUGCACAAUGGGCGCAAGCCUGAUGCAGCCAUGCCGCGUGUAUGAAGAAGGCCUUCGGGUUGUAAAGUACUUUCAGCGGGGAGGAAGGGAGUAAAGUUAAUACCUUUGCUCAUUGACGUUACCCGCAGAAGAAGCACCGGCUAACUCCGUG
rnacentral:rRNA from 1 species